AGUGAACGCUGGCGGUAGGCCUAACACAUGCAAGUCGAACGGCAGCACAGUAAGAGCUUGCUCUUACGGGUGGCGAGUGGCGGACGGGUGAGGAAUACAUCGGAAUCUACUUUUUCGUGGGGGAUAACGUAGGGAAACUUACGCUAAUACCGCAUACGACCUACGGGUGAAAGCAGGGGAUCUUCGGACCUUGCGCGAUUGAAUGAGCCGAUGUCGGAUUAGCUAGUUGGCGGGGUAAAGGCCCACCAAGGCGACGAUCCGUAGCUGGUCUGAGAGGAGGAUCGGCGACACGGGAACUGAGACACGGACCAGACUCCUACGGGAGGCAGCAGUGGGGAAUAUGGGGCAAUGGGCGCAAGCCUGAUCCAGCCAUACCGCGUGGGUGAAGAAGGCCUUCGGGUCGUAAAGCCCUUUUGUUGGGAAAGAAAAGCAGCAGGUUAAUACCCCGCGGUUCUGACGGUACCCAAAGAAGAAGCACCGGCUAACUUCGUG
rnacentral:rRNA from 1 species